UGUUGGACGAAUAGCAAAACUAUUAUUAUUAAGAAUUUGCCAAACUGGCAUCAUGUCUUUAUAUUUUAAAACAGAUCACAUUUUAGCUACCAGCAUCAUCAUCUUUCUGGAGAAUUUUAAUCAUGACAACUGUUUUUAACUGUAUGGUUUAUAGUAUAGUAUGGUGUUUUGGACUGUUUGUUUUUGCCUCACAGUGAAGCGUUCCUCCUCCACUCUCCAACUCUCACUGGUGCUCCACUUCCAGCUCUGAUUAAUUUCUCAUUCCACUGCUUCUUGGCACUUGAUGCUGUACUUUGGUGCUCAACACAAAUCUGGUUCAAGUGUUUUAAAUGUCUCUUUACAGUAGAAGAAAUACCAGAACAAGAUGUUCCAACAUGCAUCUUAUACUUCUAUUUUCUGGUAUUCACUCUAUUGAAAGACAUUGUUUUAAAGUGCUAUAUGUCCAAUAGGUGCUUUUAUCACAGAGGUGAAACAGGCGGCUCUGUAUUUCUUCCUAUUCAAGUCCUUGUGAGCACUUGCUAGUGUGAACUCUAGAGGGCAGCAACGCCUUUUCAAAGUGUGCUGUACAGACAAACCAUGCACUUGCUUCCACCCAAGCCCCUCCACAAGCCGUAAACCUUGCUGCAUUUACACCUGUUUACCAGCAGAGGGGGUGGCACCUGUUAAAUCCUAUUCAGAAAGUGAAGUGUGCAGUGCUGGUGUUGCUCCUACACACUAUGGUGCUCUCCUGGCACACUUGAUCUCUGCGUGGUGCUGUCAUCCUAACACAGAGUCUGCCAAUCAGAAAAGCUAACCUAUAGAUCCUCUUAAGGGGAAACCAACAUGGCUGCAAGCGCAUUUGAGUGCAAACAAGGAUCCCUGCAUUAAAUAAUACUUUUAAUAUGGAUUGAAAACAACCAGACAUUUUGUUAUUCGAAAAUGUGUUUAUAUUUUUGCACAUGUGUAAAAAUAUAAUGACAGUUAUAAUUGUCACUAUAAUGCACUUGCAGCUUGUUCAUCUAUAGGUCUGUUUGUGUGCUCUACUCUGACCUUGUGAUGCUCUAUGUAAGAACAGCUGUGAUAAUAUGUACUAAGGGAAAUUUACUGUAUUUUAUGAAAGUUGGCGCCAAAAGGCAGUGAAUCAAUGAAUCUCUCCUUGUGUGUUUGUGUGUUUGUGUGUGAAUGUACAAAGAGCCAAAGAGAGAGCCUAUUUGUAAAAUCUGGUUAAGGGUCACAGUAUUUUCUCAUUUUCAUUUUAAGACCUAUGUAGCACUGUGCUAAAAUCUUGCAAGUUGUCAAGAAGGGCAUGUGAAAUGUACAAUACCCCUUAAAAAUUCUAAUUAGGGCUGGACAAAAUUUGAGUUGCUGCAAUUAUCAAAUCUGAAAAGGCUGCAGUUAUUUAGAUAGUAAAAUAUCCUCUACAAAUAAUAAAAUACCCUGUAUUUUUUAUGUUACAUAUUAAUGCUUUUUGAGUUGUUAAUAAUGUGCAAUUUGAACAGAG
ensembl:lncRNA